CUUCAUCCUCAUCCUCCUGGCCCUCCUUCAUCUUCUUCUUGAAUAGCUGGUACUCAAAGUACUUCAGGUUUCCGUUGGCCCGCUGGUGUGAUGGGUCUAACCAAACAGAACCAGACGUUUAAGGCAGCGAGCAGAGAGGAGGAAGAGUGAAAUCCUAAUGUGGAGAAGAGUAAAAAACCAGGAGGCUCUGCUUCAUCCGGUUCCUUUUCAAACAGACGGAACUACAGUUUGGACUGAUUCUGGUGGUACAGACCAAGCUCCAGCAGCCUCUUGGUGAAGUCAAGUGCCCUCUCCAGCUCCCCCUGCUGGUAGACGGAGUAGCUGAGGUAGUCCAGGAUGGCGAC